rnacentral:rRNA from 1 species
CAAUAGCGUAUAUUAAAGUUGUUGCAGUUAAAAAGCUCGUAGUUGGAUUUCUGGGAAGGCGCCAAUGGUUGGCUUCUUGCUUUCGCAGCGGCGCCUUUCCAUCCUUCUGUUAGCGCCUCUUGGCAUUCAUUUGCUGGUGGCGGGCUCAGAUAUUUUACCUUGAGAAAAUUAGAGUGUUUCAGGCAGGCUAAGCCGGAAUACAUUAGCAUGGAAUAAUGGAAUAGGACUGAGGUCUCUUUGUUGGUUUGAGGGACUCCAGUAAUGAUUAAUAGGGACAGUUGGGGGCAUUAGUAUUUAUUAGUCAGAGGUGGAAUUCUAUGAUUUGAUAAAGACUAACUUAUGCGAAAGCAUUUGCCAAGGAUGUUUUCAUUAA